GCAAAGGACAAGGUGUAACUGGAGCGGCUGUUGAGUUGAAUGGAGUUCAACAGACCCAAAGUUGCAGGGCCUGUAGAUGGAGAGGGGGGACGAGUGGUCCUGAGCCCACUGGAUCAGAUCCAGCCUGGGAGGAGUGACUGGGUGCUUGCAGAGCAUGGGGGGUUAGGAGGGCUGUCUGCAACAGACACUACUAACGCAGCCAAGACAGAGCCCAAAGACCCUCCAGGAGGACCUGGAAAGGUUGCCCUGUACUCAUUUGACAGCUCCCGGUCAGCGAGGAUGAGGACAAAGCCAAGAAGGAAAAUAAAAAGCUAAAGAAGAGGGAAAAGAAGGAUUCCAGUUCAUCCUCCUCCUCCUCUGACAGCAGCUCUUCAGACAGUGAAGUACUUUGACGCCACAAUAGAAACUCAACCCGCCAGCACUGUAUGCUGGUCUGGAACAGCGGCACUAUGUUCUGUCGGCGUUAGUAAGCAGGAGAAACAGGUUUGCAUGCUUGAGAUAUGUGGGGUUGAAAGACUAGCUGAAAGACUAAAAGCCACAAUUGAAACCCAUACGGUAGGCAUGCUGUGACCCUCGGGACCCAGAUCUAAGAUAGGCGUAGGACACCCAGUCAUAACCUGUGGAGCUGGUGCCCACAUGAUCAGGGAUCAGAGUGGUCCCUUACCGCUCUUGUGCUUACUCUCUGGAAUAUGCACCGAUAUGAUCCGUCAAAACACUCAAACUAACAAUUCUGCAUGAAUAAUAAAAGGAGGAUGGAUACCCCUGGGCUGGUUGGAACCUGAGAACCCAUUCUUGUAGAUGCUGACUUGUCAUGCUUGUUUAUUUCUGUUGAAUGACCCUUUUCGUUUGUCACGGCAGGUCCUGGAAUAAAUCUGUGUUAACUACCCAAUAUGCCUUGAAAGGAAAGUACACCCAGUGAUCUACUAAAAGGAGAUGUAGCCAGUGUUCCUGCAGGCACUUUUGUCCAACCUGUCAGGGUAUUUUUUUUUUGUACUGAUAUGUUAACGUUAGGUGAAGGAGUCAAACUCGCUAGUGUAGUAACUUCUGUCUGCAGGAAGAGAAGAAGAAGAGGAAGAAGGAAAAGAAGAUGCUGGGGAUAUCAUAGUACACUGAGCCUGGCUUCGUACCAUGGAUCAUCACUGGAGGCUUCGUGCCAUGGAUCAUCACUGCAGGCGUCGUACCAUGGACCAUCACUGCAGGCGUUGUGCCAUGGAUCAUCACUGCAGACUUCGUACCAUGGGUCAUCACUGGAGGCUUCGUGCGUGGAGCAGGCAUAGGACGUACGAGGCUGGAGACACGCACUGGAGGCCGGGUGCAUGGAGCUGGCACAGGAUAUACUGGGCCUUGAAGGCUCACUGGAGGUCUAGAGCGUAGAGCUGGCACAACCCGUCCAGGCUGGAUGCUCACUUUUGCACGGCAAGUGCGAGGAGCUGGCACUGAGCGCACAGGGCUGUGAAUGUGCACUGGAGACACAGUGCGUAUCAACGCAUAACAUGGUGCCUGAUGGUGCCUGUCACACACUCCUUAAAGCGAGUGCGGGAGUUGGCUCUGGUCUGAAACCUGGCUCCGCCAACUACCCUGUGUCCCCCCCAAAAAAUUUUUUGGGGUUGCCUCUCUUGCUUGCGUCGUGGUUGCGACCCCCGGAGUCGUCGUUGAUGCUCCUUGGCUGCUUCCGCCUGCUUCUCCGGCAGGCUUUCGUAUCUCUCCAAUACUUCCUCCCAAGUCCAGGCUAUUCUCUCCUCAACCUCCUCUGUCGACCAGGAUGCCAUCUCCUCCCAGGCACGCUGCUUGGUCCAGUUGAGGUGGGACCUUCUGUCACGUUCAUCGAUGGAAGGAGUAGACCAAGGUGCAGCGUGGUAGGCGUACAUCUUUCUUUUAUUGAUGACACUGAAAAAAAACCUAACAAAUACAACACGAAAUGCACAGUUCUGUUGGGCUGGUAAGCAACAGUACAAAAACAAGAUCCCACAAUCUAAGGUGGGAAAAAGGGCUGCCUAAGUAUGAUCCCCAAUCAGAGAUAACGAUACACAGCUGCCUCUGAUUGGGAACCAUACUAGGCCAACAAAAAAAUAGAAACAUAGAUUUGCCCACCCAAGUCACACCCUGACCAAACCAAAUAGAGAAUAAAAAAGUCUCUCUAAGGUCAGGGCGUGACAGGUAGUGUAUAUACCCUAUUCCAUUCUGCCUAAUUUUAGUUUAUGCCACACCAACAUUGCUCAUCCUAAUAUUUAUAUAUUCCUUAAUUACGUUUUACUUUUAGGUUGUGUGUGUUGUUGUGAAUUGUUAGAUAUUACUGCACUGUUGGAGCUAGAAACCGGCAACUGCUUGGCAUCCGACUGUAAGGUUCUACAGAGUGUAGAGUGUAUGGCCCAGUACAUCACUGGGGCCGAGCUCCCUGUCACCCAGGACCUCUAGAUCUUCGUGGGCUACACUCGGCCUUCUCUCAGGGUAAUAAGUUGGUGGUUUGAAGAUAUCCCUCUAGUGGUGUGGGGGCUGUGCUUAGGCAAAGUGGGUGGGGUUAUAUCCUGCCUGGUUGGCCCUGUCCGGGUGUAUCGUCGGACAGGGCCACAUUGUCUCC